rnacentral:rRNA from 1 species
UACGUAGGGUGCGAGCGUUGUCCGGAAUUAUUGGGCGUAAAGAGCUUGUAGGCGGCUUGUCACGUCGGAUGUGAAAGCCCGAGGCUUAACCUCGGGUCUGCAUUCGAUACGGGCUAGCUAGAGUGUGGUAGGGGAGAUCGGAAUUCCUGGUGUAGCGGUGAAAUGCGCAGAUAUCAGGAGGAACACCGGUGGCGAAGGCGGAUCUCUGGGCCAUUACUGACGCUGAGGAGCGAAAGCGUGGGGAGCGAACAGG